UACGUAGGCAGCAAGCGUUGUUCGGAGUUACUGGGCGUAAAGAGUGUGUAGGUGGUCUUCUAAGUUCGGUGUGAAAUCUCCCGGCUCAACUGGGAGGGUGCGCCGAAGACUGGAAGGCUUGAGUGUGGGAGAGGAAAGCGGAAUUCCUGGUGUAGCGGUGAAAUGCGUAGAUAUCAGGAGGAACACCUGCGGUGUAGACGGCUUUCUGGACCAUAACUGACACUGAGACACGAAAGCGUGGGUAGCAAACAGG
rnacentral:rRNA from 1 species